GACACUGGAAUCCGGAUUUAUACUGGUGAGAAUCAAGAACUUUUUCUUGUGUUUUCGUGUGGGGGCCUUACCUAAAAAUUUCUUUUUCUACUAUUCCUUUUUCCUCCCUUUCAUCGUAUGAGCGCACUUUUCCUAAAAACUUGUUGUCAAAAAUGAUUUUAUUUAGUUUUUAAUCCCAAGUUUGUAACGCUUAAAUAUAUUGAUGCUACGAACAAAAUUUU